rnacentral:lncRNA from 1 species
GGGUGGGGGAGGACCGGGAAGGAGAGGGCGCCCUGCUCUGCCCUUGGGCUGCGCCUCUGUGAGCCAGAGCACGGGAGAGGCAGGAAUUCCCUCUCCUGCCACCACCAUAAAAUGCGGGAAUGUUUCUGGAUGGCUGCGAGGAGUCCUGCCUGGCCCUCAGGAGUCACCCUUUGUACGGCCCCCCGGCUCAUCACGCUCCCCGCCGGCGCGGGCAGCCCCGACGCACGGGAAUGCCCCUGCGGGGCCGCGCAGCUCCUUAAGUAGCAGCGUGCGGCAGCGGCCCCGGCCCGCGUUCUGCUGUCUUCCCGGGACUCCUGCGGCGGGCGUGACGCCAGCCAUGCCGAAGGCAGCCCCGCUCCUCCUAGCCUUGCUGGCCCCGCUGCUGGCCUUCCCCACCAGAGCACCAGAUUUCACCAGAUCUUAUACAGAGAAAGCAGCAGCAAAGAUAGUUGAUGUCAGCUCUUCUGUGAAAGAAACGACUACAGAAAAGAGGGCUUUCCUGGGUAUCACUGCCUUUAUCAAUGAAGACUUCACCAUAAAGACAACACGUGGAAUGAGCAUCAGUGGAAGCAGAGGCAGGAGUGAAUACAGUGAGCCCAGCAUCAUCUCCACAGAGCAAUAUAUGUUCAACAGAACACCAGUUGAGCACAACAUCAAUAUGAAUGAAAAAUCUGUGACUGGAGGCCCACAGGGAUCAUCUAUGUCAAGGAAAAUGUAAGAGGAAAAGAUCAGCCUUAAUAUGAUGUACAGAGUGAAGAUCCCUUCCCAUCAGCUGAUAACCUCAGUUCCAUCACAAGAAUAUUUGAUUCCUAGAAUUACAGAAUUUGUUUUGUAGGACAGGAAUGCUUUUGUAAAACUUGAUUUGAAACUUGUUUAUAUUUUAUAUUUUUAGAAUCUGGAUUACAAUAAAUGAGCACCUGUGUUUUCCCUGCCCUGCUGU